rnacentral:rRNA from 1 species
GAUGAACGCUAGCGGCAGGCCUAAUACAUGCAAGUCGAACGGUGUCUUCGGACAUAGUGGCGCACGGGUGCGUAACACGUAUGCAACCUACCUUACAUUGGAGGAUAGCCUUUCGAAAGGGAGAUUAAUACCGCAUAAGACAGUAGCUGGGCAUCCAGCAGCUGUUAAAGAUUUAUCGAUGUAAGCUGGGCAUGCGUCCAAUUAGCUAGUUGGUGAGGUAACGGCUCACCAAGGCAAUGAUUGGUAGGGGAACUGAGAGGUCAAUCCCCCACACUGGCACUGAGAUACGGGUCAGACUCCUACGGGAGGCAGCAGUAGGGAAUAUUGGGCAAUGGACGCAAGUCUGACCCAGCCAUGCCGCGUGCAGGAUGAAGGCGUUAUGCGUUGUAAACUGCUUUUAUACAGGAAGAAACGACUCUUGCGAGAGGCAUUGACGGUACUGUAUGAAUAAGCACCGGCUAACUCCGUGCCAGCCGCCGCAGUAAUAC